rnacentral:rRNA from 1 species
CUUGGUCAUUUAGAGGAAGUAAAAGUCGUAACAAGGUUUCCGUAGGUGAACCUGCGGAAGGACCAUUCAUAAUAAGUGUUUUAUGGCACUUUUUAAAUCCAUAUCCACCUUGUGUGCAAUGUCAGUCGAUCUUCUUCAUGGAGAUCGACCAAACAUCAACCUUUAUUUUUUAACUCUUUGUCUGAAAAAUAUUAUGAAUAAACAAUUCAAAAUACAACUUUCAACAACGGAUCUCUUGGCUCUCGCAUCGAUGAAGAACGCAGCGAAAUGCGAUACGUAAUGUGAAUUGCAGAAUUCAGUGAAUCAUCGAAUCUUUGAACGCAUAUUGCGCUCUUUGGUAUUCCGAAGAGCAUGCUUGUUUGAGUAUCAGUAAACACCUCAAAGCUUUUGGAUUUUUUAAUCGAAAAGCUUUGGACUUGAGCAAUCCCAACACCAAUCUUUUUGAGAUCGGUGGCGGGUUGCUUGAAAUGCAGGUGCAGCUGGACAUUCUCCUGAGCUAAAAGCAUAUUCAUUUAGUCCCGUCAAACGGAUUAUUACUUUUGCUGCAGCUAACAUAAAGGGAGUUUGACCGUAUUGGCUGACUGAUGCAGGAUUUCACAAGGGUCGGCAACGAUUCUUGUUAAACUCGAUCUCAAAUCAAGUAAGACUACCCGCUGAACUUAAGCAUAUCAAUAAGCGGAGGA